rnacentral:rRNA from 1 species
CCUACGGGUGGCAGCAGUGAGGAAUAUUGGUCAAUGGACGAGAGUCUGAACCAGCCAAGUAGCGUGAAGGAUGACUGCCCUCUGGGUUGUAAACUUCUUUUAUAUGGGAAUAAAAUGUUCCACGUGUGGGAUUUUGUAUGUACCAUAUGAAUAAGGAUCGGCUAACUCCGUUCCAGCAGCCGCGGUAAUACGGAGGAUCCGAGCGUUAUCCGGAUUUAUUGGGUUUAAAGGGAGCGUAGGUGGAUUGUUAAGUCAGUUGUGAAAGUUUGCGGCUGAACCGUAAAAUUGCAGUUGAAACUGGCAGUCUUGAGUACAGUAGAGGUGGGCGGAAUUCGUGGUGUAGCGGUGAAAUGCUUAGAUAUCACGAAGAACUCCGAUUGCGAAGGCAGUUCACUGGACUGCAACUGACACUGAGGCUCGAAAGUGUGGGUAUCAAACAGGAUUAGAUACCCGAGUAGUC